rnacentral:lncRNA from 1 species
AUAUAUAUAAUUAGGUUAGAAUACUAUUAAUAGUAAAAUACUUUUUUUGCUAUCAAGUUUUUAACUCUUGGAUGAAAAAUUGUAUCGAUUCGAGCUUGAAGUAUUUAGAAAUUAAAUUUCAAAUCUUUUUGACAUCAUUUAUCUAAUGAUCAAAGGGUUUCAAAAUUAGUAAUUUUAAUGGUUGAUAUGAGAGGUUUUCUCGUUUAACGGUGUAAAGCUAUCCAAAUUAAUUGAAUUUUGGUUAGAAAAUUUUUUAAACUAUUUAGAACAAGAUCUAUACUCUCGAUCAUAAUUACAAAAUUUAUAUCAUCACUUUUUAGAGAAUAUGCAUUUUCAGCUAUUCAUUUUUACGCCCACUUGACGGAUAAGAAAACAAUAUCGGAAAAGUAUGAAAUUUGAUUUCUAGAUACUUCAAGUGGUAUAGAUCAUUUUCAACAGUGCCGAUCGUCGAUUUGGAAGCUCCAUCAUCGAAAACAAAUGGGUGGCAACGGAGUCCGUNGCCUUCCCCCCGGCCCUCUCUCUCGCACGCCGCUUUCUCUCGCUCUCUCUCUCUGGACGUCUCUCUCUCUCUCUCUCUCUCUCACACGAACACCUAUCAUCUUCUAUUGCGUCGUCCUCCCAAAUAAUCAUCACGAUCUCCUUCCCUCCAUUCGUCAUUUCCGCAAAAAAUAAUAUUCAAAUGACCACAACAAGGGUAAUUUUGGAAAAAACUAUACUUUUAUGUCAGGAUUACUAAAUUUUAUAAACUGAACCAAACAUAUUAAUGCUAUAAACACUGUAAUCUAGUAUUACAUUACUGUAUUAAACCAAACGCUCUAAUGUAAUAUUAGUAGUAAUCUCACGCCGAAAUCCAAGAUACCUGGAUAUGUCGAGAUACUUUGUAAUAUUACAUAACUCGAACCAAACGGGCCCUUAUGAGUAUAGACCCCCUUGUACUCAUAAAUUUUUAACCGUUGAUUGAUGAGAUGUGUGGUUAGGAUAAUGGUGGUCUCCACUUAGAAUGAUAGUGGUCCCCUAGGGUUGAGUGGGUAGUUGGUUGAAUAGUAUGAUCUAACGGGUGAAAAUAAUCAAUGGAAUAAAUCUAAGGGCCGAAAACUUAUGAGUAUAAGAAAGCUAAUACUUAUAAAAGAAUAGUAGCAGGAAUCUCUCUCUCUCUCUCUCUCUCUAUAUAUAUAUAUGUAUAUAUAUAUAUAAUUGUCUGUGGUACUUUCGAAGCAUGAAGUAGGACAUUUAAUUUGAUGUUCGGCUCCAUUAUGCAGAAUUUAUGCUAUUAUAAUUACUUACAAACUAAAUUCUAUAAUUUUUGGAUAUCAUUUACGAAGUGAUCAAAUAGUCUAAAAAAUGACUAAUUUAAUGACCGAUGUGAUACGUUUGUAAGUUCAACAAUGUCGAACAAUCUAAAUUAAAUAAAAUGUUAAUAAAAAGUUUUACUUACCAUUGAAAGUAAGAUUAAUAUUUUCGAUUUUGAAAUUUAAGUUUUUUAUCAUUAUUUUUUAUAAAAUUUUUAUUUUCAGCCAUUCAUUUUGAGAUUACUCGUUUAUUUGUCAAAUAAAAUUAAAAAAAUUAUGAAAUUUGGUUUUUUUUUAUAGUUGCAAUACAGUAAAUCAUAUUUAAUAGAAUCGAUCGCCGAAUCGGAUGUCUUAUUAUUGGAAAUCUACAAGCACCAAUAAUUUGGUACUUUUAAAAGCAUAGGAGCUCAAUUAUAUAUAUAUAUAUAGUAAGUCUCCCGUACUUUCGAAAGUAUAGAGACCUCCGUAGUUGUAAGUUGUUUUCGAUAAUAGAAAAUCCGAUUUGACGAUCGGCUCCGUUAAAUAUAAUCUACCCUAUUGGAAUUAUUUAGAUACCAAAUUUUAUAAUUUUUUGACAUCAUUUACCAAGCGAUCAAAAGGUCUCAAAAAUGACUAUUUUAACGACCGAUGUGGCACGUUUUUAAGUUCAACGGUGUAGAAGUAUCCAAAUUAAAUGAAAAUUUAAUAAAAAAUUCUGCUUAACAUCAAUAGCAAGACCAAUACUUCCGAUGUGAAAUUUGAGUUCUUUACCACUGUUUUUUAUGAAAUUUUUUUUUUCAGCCGUUCAUUUUGAGACUACUCGUUUACUUAACAUUUGCUGCUGCUCAGUCACUAUGAACAUUACU